GGGAAACCGAGACGGUGGGAGAUUAUUGCAGAGGCGUUUGGUGGAAGGCAUAAAGUGGAGAGUGUGAUUAAAAUGGCUAAGGAAAUGGGAGAGAAGAAAUUAGGUGAUGAGGAUUCUUAUGCUCAAUUUCUGAAGAAGAGGAAACCAAUGGAUAAGAGAAUUGAGAAUGUCAAUGAAGAAGGCGGCGCCACCGCUGCUGCCACCGCCGACGGUUGGAGUUCUGGUGAGG
rnacentral:misc_RNA from 1 species